rnacentral:rRNA from 1 species
CCAGACUCCUACGGGAGGCAGCAGUGGGGAAUUUUGGACAAUGGGGGCAACCCUGAUCCAGCCAUGCCGCGUGUAUGAAGAAGGCCUUCGGGUUGUAAAGUACUUUUGUUAGGGAAGAAAAGGGAAGUGCUAAUACCACUUUUUGCUGACGGUACCUAAAGAAUAAGCACCGGCUAACUACGUGCCAGCAGCCGCGGUAAUACGUAGGGUGCGAGCGUUAAUCGGAAUUACUGGGCGUAAAGCGGGCGCAGACGGUUACUUAAGCAGGAUGUGAAAUCCCCGGGCUCAACCUGGGAACUGCGUUCUGAACUGGGUGACUAGAGUGUGUCAGAGGGAGGUAGAAUUCCACGUGUAGCAGUGAAAUGCGUAGAGAUGUGGAGGAAUACCGAUGGCGAAGGCAGCCUCCUGGGAUAACACUGACGUUCAUGCCCGAAAGCGUGGGUAGCAAACAGGAUUAGAUACCCUGGUAGUCCACGCCCUAAACGAUGUCGAUUAGCUGUUGGGCAGCAUGACUGCUUAGUAGCGAAGCUAACGCGUGAAAUCGACCGCCUGGGGAGUACGGUCGCAAGAUUAAAACUCAAAGGAAUUGACGGGGGCCCGCACAAG